rnacentral:rRNA from 1 species
AGUGAACGCUGGCGGCAGGCCUAACACAUGCAAGUCGAGCGGCAGCGCGUCCGACCACCCUCGGGUGGUCGGAUGGCGGCGAGCGGCGGACGGGUGAGGAAUGCAUCGGAAUCUGCCUCGUUGUGGGGGAUAACGUAGGGAAACUUACGCUAAUACCGCAUACGACCCUACGGGUGAAAGUGGGGGACCUUCGGGCCUCACGCGAUGAGAUGAGCCGAUGCCGGAUUAGCUAGUUGGCGGGGUAAAGGCCCACCAAGGCGACCGAUCCGUAGCUGGUCUGAGAGGAUGAUCAGCCACACUGGGACUGA